UUAAGCGACUAAGCGUACACGGUGGAUGCCCUGGCAGUCAGAGGCGAUGAAGGACGUGCUAAUCUGCGAUAAGCGUCGGUAAGGUGAUAUGAACCGUUAUAACCGGCGAUUUCCGAAUGGGGAAACCCAGUGUGUUUCGACACACUAUCAUUAACUGAAUCCAUAGGUUAAUGAGGCGAACCGGGGGAACUGAAACAUCUAAGUACCCCGAGGAAAAGAAAUCAACCGAGAUUCCCCCAGUAGCGGCGAGCGAACGGGGAGCAGCCCAGAGCCUGAAUCAGUGUGUGUGUUAGUGGAAGCGUCUGGAAAGGCGCGCGAUACAGGGUGACAGCCCCGUACACAAAAAUGCACAUGCUGUGAGCUCGAUGAGUAGGGCGGGACACGUGGUAUCCUGUCUGAAUAUGGGGGGACCAUCCUCCAAGGCUAAAUACUCCUGACUGACCGAUAGUGAACCAGUACCGUGAGGGAAAGGCGAAAAGAACCCCGGCGAGGGGAGUGAAAAAGAACCUGAAACCGUGUACGUACAAGCAGUGGGAGCACGCUUAGGCGUGUGACUGCGUACCUUUUGUAUAAUGGGUCAGCGACUUAUAUUCUGUAGCAAGGUUAACCGAAUAGGGGAGCCGAAGGGAAACCGAGUCUUAACUGGGCGUUAAGUUGCAGGGUAUAGACCCGAAACCCGGUGAUCUAGCCAUGGGCAGGUUGAAGGUUGGGUAACACUAACUGGAGGACCGAACCGACUAAUGUUGAAAAAUUAGCGGAUGACUUGUGGCUGGGGGUGAAAGGCCAAUCAAACCGGGAGAUAGCUGGUUCUCCCCGAAAGCUAUUUAGGUAGCGCCUCGUGAAUUCAUCUCCGGGGGUAGAGCACUGUUUCGGCAAGGGGGUCAUCCCGACUUACCAACCCGAUGCAAACUGCGAAUACCGGAGAAUGUUAUCACGGGAGACACACGGCGGGUGCUAACGUCCGUCGUGAAGAGGGAAACAACCCAGACCGCCAGCUAAGGUCCCAAAGUCAUGGUUAAGUGGGAAACGAUGUGGGAAGGCCCAGACAGCCAGGAUGUUGGCUUAGAAGCAGCCAUCAUUUAAAGAAAGCGUAAUAGCUCACUGGUCGAGUCGGCCUGCGCGGAAGAUGUAACGGGGCUAAACCAUGCACCGAAGCUGCGGCAGCGACGCUUAUGCGUUGUUGGGUAGGGGAGCGUUCUGUAAGCCUGUGAAGGUGUACUGUGAGGUAUGCUGGAGGUAUCAGAAGUGCGAAUGCUGACAUAAGUAACGAUAAAGCGGGUGAAAAGCCCGCUCGCCGGAAGACCAAGGGUUCCUGUCCAACGUUAAUCGGGGCAGGGUGAGUCGACCCCUAAGGCGAGGCCGAAAGGCGUAGUCGAUGGGAAACAGGUUAAUAUUCCUGUACUUGGUGUUACUGCGAAGGGGGGACGGAGAAGGCUAUGUUGGCCGGGCGACGGUUGUCCCGGUUUAAGCGUGUAGGCUGGUUUUCCAGGCAAAUCCGGAAAAUCAAGGCUGAGGCGUGAUGACGAGGCACUACGGUGCUGAAGCAACAAAUGCCCUGCUUCCAGGAAAAGCCUCUAAGCAUCAGGUAACAUCAAAUCGUACCCCAAACCGACACAGGUGGUCAGGUAGAGAAUACCAAGGCGCUUGAGAGAACUCGGGUGAAGGAACUAGGCAAAAUGGUGCCGUAACUUCGGGAGAAGGCACGCUGAUACGUAGGUGAAGUCCCUCGCGGAUGGAGCUGAAAUCAGUCGAAGAUACCAGCUGGCUGCAACUGUUUAUUAAAAACACAGCACUGUGCAAACACGAAAGUGGACGUAUACGGUGUGACGCCUGCCCGGUGCCGGAAGGUUAAUUGAUGGGGUCAGCGCAAGCGAAGCUCUUGAUCGAAGCCCCGGUAAACGGCGGCCGUAACUAUAACGGUCCUAAGGUAGCGAAAUUCCUUGUCGGGUAAGUUCCGACCUGCACGAAUGGCGUAAUGAUGGCCAGGCUGUCUCCACCCGAGACUCAGUGAAAUUGAACUCGCUGUGAAGAUGCAGUGUACCCGCGGCAAGACGGAAAGACCCCGUGAACCUUUACUAUAGCUUGACACUGAACAUUGAGCCUUGAUGUGUAGGAUAGGUGGGAGGCUUUGAAGUGUGGACGCCAGUCUGCAUGGAGCCGACCUUGAAAUACCACCCUUUAAUGUUUGAUGUUCUAACGUUGACCCGUGAUCCGGGUUGCGGACAGUGUCUGGUGGGUAGUUUGACUGGGGCGGUCUCCUCCUAAAGAGUAACGGAGGAGCACGAAGGUUGGCUAAUCCUGGUCGGACAUCAGGAGGUUAGUGCAAUGGCAUAAGCCAGCUUGACUGCGAGCGUGACGGCGCGAGCAGGUGCGAAAGCAGGUCAUAGUGAUCCGGUGGUUCUGAAUGGAAGGGCCAUCGCUCAACGGAUAAAAGGUACUCCGGGGAUAACAGGCUGAUACCGCCCAAGAGUUCAUAUCGACGGCGGUGUUUGGCACCUCGAUGUCGGCUCAUCACAUCCUGGGGCUGAAGUAGGUCCCAAGGGUAUGGCUGUUCGCCAUUUAAAGUGGUACGCGAGCUGGGUUUAGAACGUCGUGAGACAGUUCGGUCCCUAUCUGCCGUGGGCGCUGGAGAACUGAGGGGGGCUGCUCCUAGUACGAGAGGACCGGAGUGGACGCAUCACUGGUGUUCGGGUUGUCAUGCCAAUGGCACUGCCCGGUAGCUAAAUGCGGAAGAGAUAAGUGCUGAAAGCAUCUAAGCACGAAACUUGCCCCGAGAUGAGUUCUCCCUGACUCCUUGAGAGUCCUGAAGGAACGUUGAAGACGACGACGUUGAUAGGCCGGGUGUGUAAGCGCAGCGAUGCGUUGAGCUAACCGGUACUAAUGAACCGUGAGGCUUAACCUU
rnacentral:rRNA from 1 species